AAUUUGGGUUCACUUCUACUCUUUCGAAGACUGAAGCUUGAAUGUGAAAGAGGCCUUACCCAUCAUGCUGACUCUGCCCUUUGUCUGAACUUCAGGCCAGAACUUUGGUUUCAGUGUGUAAUGGAAUUGCUUAUUUGAACAAAUCAUUGACUAACACUUUAGAAGAACAAAUAACUAAUUCAGAUGUGACUUACCCCUUCAGUUUUAUAAGAAAUGAAUGGUGAUCAAAAUAGCUCAGGAUGAAAUGACUGUUUCAUUGGUUCCUAAACUUUUUUUUUUUUUUUUGGAUCAUAGGGACUUUUUGAGAAUUAAAGCCACAGAUGAUCUUUG
rnacentral:lncRNA from 1 species